GAUGAACGCUGGCGGCGUGCCUAAUACAUGCAAGUCGAGCGAACAGACGAGGAGCUUGCUCCUCUGACGUUAGCGGCGGACGGGUGAGUAACACGUGGAUAACCUACCUAUAAGACUGGGAUAACUUCGGGAAACCGGAGCUAAUACCGGAUAAUAUAUUGAACCGCAUGGUUCAAUAGUGAAAGACGGUUUUGCUGUCACUUAUAGAUGGAUCCGCGCCGCAUUAGCUAGGUGGUAAGGUAACGGCUUACCAAGGCAACGAUGCGUAGCCGACCUGAGAGGGUGAUCGGCCACACUGGAACUGAGACACGGUCCAGACUCCUACGGGAGGCAGCAGUAGGGAAUCUUCCGCAAUGGGCGAAAGCUUGACGGAGCAACGCCGCGUGAGUGAUGAAGGUCUUCGGAUCGUAAAACUCUGUUAUUAGGGAAGAACAAAUGUGUAAGUAACUAUGCACGUCUUGACGGUACCUAAUCAGAAAGCCACGGCUAACUACGUG
rnacentral:rRNA from 1 species